UACCAGCACCCCCGAGUGGUCGGGACGUUUAUUGGGCCUAAAGCAUCCGUAGCCGGUUCUACAAGUCUUCCGUUAAAUCCAACUGCUUAACAGGUGGGCUGCGGAAGAUACUAUAGAGCUAGGAGGCGGGAGAGGCAAGCGGUACUCGAUGGGUAGGGGUAAAAUCCUUUGAUCCAUUGAAGACCACCAGUGGCGAAGGCGGCUUGCCAGAACGCGCUCGACGGUGAGGGAUGAAAGCUGGGGGGAGCAAACCGG
rnacentral:rRNA from 1 species